GGAUUGAACGCUGGCGGCAGGCCUAACACAUGCAAGUCGAGCGGCAGCACGGGUACUUGUACCUGGUGGCGAGCGGCGGACGGGUGAGUAAUGCCUAGGAAUCUGCCUGAUAGUGGGGGAUAACGUUCGGAAACGGACGCUAAUACCGCAUACGUCCUACGGGAGAAAGUGGGGGAUCUUCGGACCUCACGCUAUCAGAUGAGCCUAGGUCGGAUUAGCUAGUUGGUAGGGUAAAGGCCUACCAAGGCUACGAUCCGUAACUGGUCUGAGAGGAUGAUCAGUCACACUGGAACUGAGACACGGUCCAGACUCCUACGGGAGGCAGCAGUGGGGAAUAUUGGACAAUGGGCGAAAGCCUGAUCCAGCCAUGCCGCGUGUGCGAAGAAGGUCUUCGGAUUGUAAAGCACUUUAAGUUGGAGGAAGGCAUUAACCUAAUACGUUAGUAGUUUGUAGUUACGUACAGAAUAAGACACGACUAACUACUACGUGCCUACGACGACGCCGCGGUAACGUUAACG
rnacentral:rRNA from 1 species